UACGUAGGGUGCGAGCGUUGUCCGGAAUUAUUGGGCGUAAAGAGCUUGUAGGCGGUCUGUCGCGUCUGCUGUGAAAAUCCGGGGCUCAACCCCGGACUUGCAGUGGGUACGGGCAGACUAGAGUGUGGUAGGGGAGACUGGAAUUCCUGGUGUAGCGGUGAAAUGCGCAGAUAUCAGGAGGAACACCGAUGGCGAUGGCAGGUCUCUGGGCCACUACUGACGCUGAGAAGCGAAAGCAUGGGGAGCGAACAGG
rnacentral:rRNA from 1 species